UACGAAGGGGGCUAGCGUUGCUCGGAAUCACUGGGCGUAAAGCGCACGUAGGCGGAUUGCUAAGUCAGGGGUGAAAUCCUGGAGCUCAACUCCAGAACUGCCUUUGAUACUGGUGAUCUUGAGUCCGGGAGAGGUGAGUGGAACUGCGAGUGUAGAGGUGAAAUGCGCAGAUAUCAGGAGGAACACCGAUGGCGAAGGCAGCUCGCUGGGACGGUACUGACGCUGAGGCGCGAAAGCGUGGGGAGCAAACAGG
rnacentral:rRNA from 1 species